rnacentral:rRNA from 1 species
GAUAAACGCCGACAGAAUGCUUAACACAUGCAAGUCGAUGAGGAAGUAAUAGCUUGCUAUUAUGAAAUCAUGGCGGACGGGUGAGUAACGCGCAAAGAACUUACCCUUUAGACUGGGAUAACAUAAGGAAACUUGUGAUAAUACUAGAUAAGUUAGAUUUAGGCAUCUAAAUCAAAUGAAAAGCUAUAAGCGCUAGAGGAGAGCUUUGCGUCCUAUUAGCUAGUUGGUAAGGUAAAGGCUUACCAAGGCGAUGAUAGGUAGCCGGCCUGAGAGGGUGAACGGCCACAAGGGGACUGAGAUACGGCCCUUACUCCUACGGGAGGCAGCAGUGGGGAAUAUUGGACAAUGGAGGAAACUCUGAUCCAGCAAUUCUGUGUGCACGAAGACGGUUUUCGGAUUGUAAAGUGCUUUUAGUUGGGAAGAAACAAAUGACGGUACCAACAGAAGAAGCGACGGCUAAAUACGUGCCAGCAGCCGCGGUAAUACGUAUGUCGCGAGCGUUAUCCGGAAUUAUUGGGCUUAAAGGGCAUCUAGGCGGCAAAGCAAGUUGAAGGUGAAAAGCUGUGGCUCAACCAUAGUCUUGCCUACAAAACUGCUUAGCUAGAGUACUGGAGAGGUGGGUGGAACUACACGAGUAGAGGUGAAAUUCGUAGAUAUGUGUAGGAAUGCCGAUGAUGAAGAUAACUCACUGGACAGAAACUGACGCUGAAGUGCGAAAGCUAGGGGAGCAAACAGG